AGAGUUUGAUCCUGGCUCAGAUUGAACGCUGGCGGCAUGCUUUACACAUGCAAGUCGAACGGCAGCACAGGGAGCUUGCUCCCGGGUGGCGAGUGGCGAACGGGUGAGUAAUACAUCGGAACGUGUCCUUUUGUGGGGGAUAACUACUCGAAAGAGUAGCUAAUACCGCAUAAUACCUGAGGGUGAAAGCGGGGGACUUUAGGGCCUCGCGCAGUUGGAGCGGCCGAUGACUGAUUAGCUAGUUGGUGGGGUAAAGGCCUACCAAGGCGACGAUCAGUAGCUGGUCUGAGAGGACGACCAGCCACAUUGGGACUGAGACACGGCCCAAACUCCUACGGGAGGCAGCAGUGGGGAAUUUUGGACAAUGGGGGCAACCCUGAUCCAGCCAUGCCGCGUGCAGGAUGAAGGCCUUCGGGUUGUAAACUGCUUUUGUUAGGAACGAAACGGUGGAUGCUAAUACCAUUUACUAAUGACGGUACCUAAAGAAUAAGCACCGGCUAACUACGUGCCAGCAGCCGCGGUAAUACGUAGGGUGCAAGCGUUAAUCGGAAUUACUGGGCGUAAAGCGUGCGCAGGCGGCUUGAUAAGACAGGUGUGAAAUCCCCGAGCUCAACUUGGGAAUAGCACUUGUGACUGUCAGGCUAGAGUAUGUCAGAGGGAGGUGGAAUUCCAAGUGUAGCAGUGAAAUGCGUAGAUAUUUGGAAGAACACCGAUGGCGAAGGCAGCCUCCUGGGAUAAUACUGACGCUCAUGCACGAAAGCGUGGGGAGCAAACAGGAUUAGAUACCCUGGUAGUCCACGCCCUAAACGAUGUCUACUAGUUGUUGGACCGUAUGGUUUAGUAACACAGCUAACGCGAGAAGUAGACCGCCUGGGGAGUACGGUCGCAAGAUUAAAACUCAAAGGAAUUGACGGGGACCC
rnacentral:rRNA from 1 species